rnacentral:rRNA from 1 species
UACAGAGGGUGCAAACGUUGUUCGGAAUUACUGGGCGUAAAGCGCGUGUAGGCGGCCCGGCAAGUCCGCUGUGAAAGCCCAGGGCUCAACCUUGGGAUGCCGGUGGAUACUGUCGGGCUCGAGUCCGGAAGAGGCGAGUGGAAUUCCUGGUGUAGCGGUGAAAUGCGCAGAUAUCAGGAGGAACACCAAUGGCGAAGGCAGCUCGCUGGGACGUGACUGACGCUGAGACGCGAAAGCGUGGGGAGCAAACAGG